AUUUAACGCUGGCGGCAGGCCUAACACAUGCAAGUCGAGCGGGGUUUUCGGACCUAGCGGCGGACGGGUGAGUAAUGCGUAGGAAGCUGCCCGAUAGAGGGGGAUACCAGUUGGAAACGACUGUUAAUACCGCAUAAUGUCUACGGACCAAAGUGUGGGACCUUCGGGCCACAUGCUAUCGGAUGCGCCUACGUGGGAUUAGCUAGUUGGUGAGGUAAUGGCUCACCAAGGCGACGAUCUCUAGCUGGUUUGAGCGGAUGAUCAGCCACACUGGAACUGAGACCCGGUCCAGACUACUACGGGAGGCAGCAGUGGGGAAUAUUGGACAAUGGGCGCAAGCCUGAUCCAGCCAUGCCGCGUGUGUGAAGAAGGCCUUCGGGUUGUAAAGCACUUUCAGCGAGGAGGAAGGGUGGUGUGUUAAUAGCGCAUCAUUUUGACGUUACUCGCAGAAGAAGCACCGGCUAACUCUUUGCCAGCCGCCGCCGUAACAC
rnacentral:rRNA from 1 species